UACGGGGGGGCGAGCGUUGUUCGGAAUUACUGGGCGUAAAGGGUUUGUAGGUGGCCUGCUAAGUCAGACGUGAAAUCCCUCAGCUUAACUGGGGAACUGCGUCUGAUACUGGCGGGCUUGAGGACAGGAGAGGAACGCGGAAUUCCAGGUGUAGCGUGAAAUGCGUAGAUAUCUGGAGGAACACCGGUGGCGAAGGCGGCGUUCUGGACUGUUUCUGACACUGAAAAACGAAAGCCAGGGGAGCAAACGGG
rnacentral:rRNA from 1 species